AUUGAACGCUGGCGGCAUGCCUUACACAUGCAAGUCGAACGGUAACGCGGGGCAACCUGGCGACGAGUGGCGAACGGGUGAGUAAUACAUCGGAACGUGCCCAGUAGUGGGGGAUAGCCCGGCGAAAGCCGGAUUAAUACCGCAUACGACCUACGGGUGAAAGCGGGGGAUCGCAAGACCUCGCGCUAUUGGAGCGGCCG
rnacentral:rRNA from 1 species